CACCCAUUUCCUGGGCUGAUUUCACCAUUUGAUCACUUUCUGUGGCCUGGAUUGAGUCCCGCAAGCCUCUGAAGGACAAAUGAAGUUUCGAAGAAUCUGGGCUAAAUCAAUCUCAGUCCUGAUUGAUGAGGCUGUAUACCGCAGUCUUUCUCCAUGGAAGCAGCUAUUGCAACAGAAAAGAGCCUGUGCAGGACUAGCUUCUCAGUCGUCACACAAAAUUAGUUUCCUUCAUCGAGAGCCCACCUUAAGCCUGCUAUCACUGAGAAUCCUGUGAUGUAGUAAUGAUCAGUGAUUUACAGACCCACAUGAAUUCUGGACCUGAACUCUAGAAAAAAACUCUACAGAAUUGGACCGCCUGUAUUUGAAGUUCCACCCAUAGUUAAUAAUUGACGGCUACAUCUUCAUUUGUUCUACAUCCAUUCUGUGAAAUUCUACAGAUUUUCCUACAAAAUCAGUGUAAAAAGUGUUAAACAAGUUCAAUUCGUAAUGUUAACUGUUAAUUUCCUGUCCUGAGAAACUUCUGUCAAUGUACAGGGUUUGAAUUUGAUUUGCAGAAUCUUCUGGAUCUUCAACAGCAAUCCUCAGGCCUCAUUUGCAUUGAUAACUGUGGAAACAUGUAGAUUAGAUCAGCCCUAAAACCCAGAGACUGACGCUCCUCCUGAAAACAUCAGAUGUAAGAGAAUAUUGCUAUUUUCAUAUCUAUUUGUGCCGUCUGUGUCCCAAGGAUCACUUCUUCUGUAUAUCUCGAUUAUAUGUGCAGACAUCACGGAAACGUACAGAAAAUCAAUUUAAAAGAUUUAUCACAGACCUCUCGCUCAGAGACACCUGCUCACGACAGAUGACAAACAUGACCUUAGUUUGGACAGCUGGGUGGAGCUGCACUGAGAGUUUCACCUUUAUACUGCAAAUAUAAUAUCAGUGCUGACAGUUUUCUCUUUCAUAGCCCAGGACGCUGGUAGAGUUUGAACUUGUGUUUAAAUCAUGUCCUAAAAUGUUUAUUAGUAUUGAAAUAUCACUUUCAGACUUUGGAAAUAUCAGACUUUUGGCAAAUCUGAGCAGUUUUGAGUGUUGAGAACACUUUUCAAACUCUUGAAGAGACGUAAGUUCUUUUUUUUUUUUUUUUUUUUUUUUUAGAAUCUCAAAUUGUGCAAAAAAUCAGAGACCUCAAUAUGAACUCAAACAUUUCUCAUCAUAUUCCCCAA